rfam:Bacillus weihaiensis strain Alg07 chromosome, complete genome.
UCUGGUGGCGAUAGCGAAGAGGUCACACCCGUUCCCAUGCCGAACACGGAAGUUAAGUUCUUCAGCGCCGAUGGUAGUUGGGGGUUUCCCCCUGUGAGAGUAGGACGUUGCCAGGU